GGGCACUUGGUCUAGGGGUAUGAUAUUCGCUUCGCAUCAAUUCAAAUGAUACGAAUAUGUGAAUGGUCGUGGGUUCAAUUCCCACAGUGUCCA